rnacentral:snRNA from 1 species
AUCUCUUCUCGGCCUUUUGGCUAAGAUCAAGUGAAGUUUCUAUUACAAGAGUUUUUCUUUAAAAAGUAGAACAUUUUCUGUGAAUUAAAUCAUAUUAAUUUUCCUAGAAACCCUU